UACGUAGGGUCCGAGCGUUGUCCGGAAUUACUGGGCGUAAAGCGCGCGCAGGCGGCCCGCGAGGUGUCACGUGAAAGCCCCGGGCUCAACCUGGGAACUGCAUCCAAAACUGGCAAGCUAGAGUACGGUAGAGGGUGGUGGAAUUUCCUGUGUAGCGGUGAAAUGCGUAGAUAUAGGAAGGAACACCAGUGGCGAAGGCGACCACCUGGACUGAUACUGACACUGAGGUGCGAAAGCGUGGGGAGCAAACAGG
rnacentral:rRNA from 1 species